rnacentral:rRNA from 1 species
UACGAAAGCAUGGGGAGCAAACAGGAUUAGAUACCCUGGUAGUCCAUGCCGUAAACGAUGUCUACUAGCCGUUGGGGCCUUUGAGGCUUUAGUGGCGCAGCUAACGCGAUAAGUAGACCGCCUGGGGAGUACGGUCGCAAGACUAAAACUCAAAUGAAUUGACGGGGGCCCGCACAAGCGGUGGAGCAUGUGGUUUAAUUCGAUGCAACGCGAAGAACCUUACCUGGUCUUGACAUAGUAAGAACUUUCCAGAGAUGGAUUGGUGCCUUCGGGAACUUACAUACAGGUGCUGCAUGGCUGUCGUCAGCUCGUGUCGUGAGAUGUUGGGUUAAGUCCCGCAACGAGCGCAACCCUUUUCCUUAUUUGCCAGCGGGUUAAGCCGGGAAUUUUAAGGAUACUGCCAGUGACAAACUGGAGGAAGGCGGGGACGACGUCAAGUCAUCAUGGCCCUUACGACCAGGGCUACACACGUGCUACAAUGGUCGGUACAAAGGGUUGCUACCUAGCGAUAGGAUGCUAAUCUCAAAAAGCCGAUCGUAGUCCGGAUUGGAGUCUGCAACUCGGCUCCAUGAAGUCGGAAUCGCUAGUAAUCGCGGAUCAGAAUGCCGCGGUGAAUACGUUCCCGGGCCUUGUACACACCGCCCGUCACACCAUGGGAAUUUGUUGCACCAGAAGUAGGUAGUCUAACCGCAAGGAGGACGCUUACCACGGUGUGGCCGAUGACUGGGGUGAAGUCGUAACAAGGUAACC